AGAGUUUGAUUCUGGCUCAGGAUGAACGCUAGCUACAGGCUUAACACAUGCAAGUCGAGGGGCAGCAGGAUCUAGCAAUAGAUUGCUGGCGACCGGCGCACGGGUGAGUAACACGUAUCCAACCUGCCGAUAACUCGGGGAUAGCCUUUCGAAAGAAAGAUUAAUACCUGAUGGUAUCUUAAGCACGCAUGUAAUUAAGAUUAAAGAUUUAUCGGUGUACGAUGGGGAUGCGUUCCAUUAGGUAGUAGGCGGGGUAACGGCCCACCAAGCCUACGAUGGAUAGGGGUUCUGAGAGGAAGGUCCCCCACAUUGGAACUGAGACACGGUCCAA
rnacentral:rRNA from 1 species